CAUCAUGCGUUGCCCACUCCCAUCGAUCCCAUCUAUUGUUUCCGCCGCCGCCGCCGCCGCUAAAAAACUCCAUCGGUCCCCAUCCUUGCUUGCCCACUCCCAUCGAUAGUUGCCACCGCCGCCGCCGUCGUCCGAGGGGGAGACGUCGCCGCCGCCGCUGCAAGGUAUGGCGGUUUGAAUCCCGCCCCCGCCUCUGCAAGGCAGGGCGGUUUCAAUCCCACCGCCGCCGAACUCCGGGAAUCGCCGCCGCCAAGUCUUCAGGGCAGGGCGGUUUCAAACCCUGCCGACGAUCUCCGGGAUACGCAUAAUCGUCGCUGCCGCCCCCUCCCCCGGCUGCCCCAUGGUCUUCUAUCUCUCCCAACUCCGCUGUCGCGCCCCGUGUUCCGUCUCUGCAUGAAUCGCUGUUGUGGCAGCCACUCCCCAUGGCGGCCAUCCGGGCACACCGUGUCCGGGAUGAUGGAGGUGAUGUCGGCCAGUUCCCUGUUUUCGUUGGCAUCUUCUGCGAUGGGACCCGUGGGGGCAGGUCGCGCGCUGCUCAUCUGCGUCGAUGGCGUCGGCGUCGUCCUUCCCCUGCCAAGCAUGGCGGCUCCUUGGCUGGAUCACAGUGAUGAUACAGUUGGCUCGGCGGCGGCUAGGGAUCUCGCAGGCUGGCGUUUAUUUGAUGUCUGGGUGUUCCAAUCGUGAUGGAACGGACGUAUAAUGUACGGUAUAAGAAUUUGGACGAGGCUCAUCUGCGUGGAUGGUUGUGGCUUGGCCGCCGAGCACACAAUCCAUUGAUUCACACAUAAGACCGUAGCCAUCUACACCAAGGCUCCUCUGCCCUACCGAGUCUUGCAAGCGAUCGUCGUAAGAAAUAUUCCGUGUGAUGCCGGCAUGUGUUGUUGUUGCACUGUCGCAACCAUCCAUCUGCACACCAAAUGUCAAAACCGAGUCGCGGUGUACACAAUGCUGGGCAUUAUUUAUAUCGAAGGACGAGGAGGAAGAUUUGGAUGACCGUAACCACAAUGGCAAGAGCAGCAACAUGGUCGUCACCUGCAAUGCCGAUGGGUGCUGACAUUAUGAUGUUUGGUUUAUUUGUUGAAAGUUACAGCCCAUGUUUCAUGAUUUAUUUGCCACCGGUUAAUCAUGAUAUUUUGAAGUGCUCUGACAAUUGCUUGCUGUCUGCAUCUCUUACUUUUCAACUUGCUGCAUAUACAGAUAUACACCAUUAGAAUCUGUUUGUACAAUAUAUUUACUUAUUCAACAUGCUUCAGUUAUGCUUCUUUGAAAAUCCAGUUGUAGAUUGCAGUGAAGCCCCAUUUAGAUCUUGGCUAUAGUAUUAUUCUUGUCUUAUGACUCGUGACAGGUUGAUAUGUGAUACCAUGACAUAGCAUAUGUGGUACCGUGGUAGUCACAUUUGGUGGUAGUUCUGAUUGUUUGCUAGAUUACGAGAUAAGACCAAGUGCUUCUGCUACUCGGUUGCGGUUUUGAUAGGAACAUGAAGACUUGUGCCAUGCCAUGGAGCAUGUUUGAUUAAAAGGACAUAGUUGCUCCAAUAUAUUGAGCAGGGAAGAAGUUUGUUACAAGUGUUUUAUAGAGUUGACGCCAGAGACGUCCGACGGGAUACAUUGGUGAAGGAAUCGACAAAGGAGCUUCCGUUCAGCAUGGUAUCUCAAUGGAAGAAUAUCCGAAGCAAACCUCCGCUACUUCUCUGUUCCCUUUCAUUUGUCGUGGGAAGACCUUAGGAAGGUAGGAAGACCUUAGGAAGAGCGGGUGGGAGGAAGAGAGGCAUGUGCUAUAGAUGUAGGCGAACAAUGGUCCUUGGAAAUUAUUAGUACUCUACAAAAUGUCUGUCCCCUAUGAUGCCUACAAUGAGCGAUAGAGGGUGGAAGGAAGGGAGAGCGGAGGAAGGAAGAUGGGGAUAUAUGUAGAGAAAGGGAGAUAGGAGGAAGGGAGAUGGGCAUAUAUGUAUAGAGAGGAAGAUCAGAGAGGGAGGGGAGAUUUACAGGACGAUUGUCGUUGAGCCACUCAAAUAUUUUCGUGUUUCAAUGACGCGUGGAGGACGACGGUCACGAGCGCAUUGUCGCAAGCUCACAGGAGGGAGGCACACAUCUCAUCCAAUAUAAAAGCACGCUCCGAAGAAUCCCUAACCCUCCAUGGAGCCAUUGCUAGGGGGCGUCGAGAUCAACGCCACCCAUCACGACCACCGAGAUGUAGAGGGUAUGUCCUGGUGCUUCCCAAGAAUCUUUCCCGCCUCUUGAGAGACCACAUGGCGUUCUGGUGGCAGUUUUUGGCCAAGGUUGGAAGCCAAGAACACUUCUUAAUUUUGAUCACGGACUUGACAUUGUGGUCGGCGGUGCGUGGUGCAGUGCGGUGAUUUCUUGCCUAGCGUAUAACAAUGUGUGUUCAAUGGAUCGCCUCUUCUCACGCACAAGUCUCAGAGGGAGACAACGACAGCUAUUCAGAAUAACUACAACAAAAUUGUGACACAAGUGGUUAGUGGGAGAAGGAACCUGAUACCGCAGCCGAUUCUGCAGCAAGGGCUUUGUGACUGAGCUGGUGAAUAAAAUGUCAGUGGUGGAAACGGACAUGUUAUAGAAGAUGUUGAGGGUGGCACCGGAGUUAAUGGCCAAAUGGGGUUCCUCGGCACCGAAGAGAAGGAUGCUGCAGCGACACGUACUGGGUUCCAUUUCCAACCAGAGAAGAACUUAUGAAUGGCACUAGAAAGGAGACGAUCCUAUCCACUAUCACAAUGAAAGAAGAGAAACAAUUCCUUGCAGUCAUCUAUAAGCCUAUUCUUUAAUCCAUUCAAUUACAGAGUUUAUGAUUAUGUAAAUGGAGUAUGGGAUCUGAGAAGAAAAAAAAGGUAAUAGUACUUUCGUUCACAGGCAGAUUCGACAUAUCCUCGUUUACUUCCCCCUUGUCUUCUGACUGACUCCUUAAAUCAUCAACAUGUGUGUAUAUAUAGUUGCAUUCGAUUCAAGGAAGAUAAUGGACAAGUGUAUUGGUAUGAACAGGUCGUCGACUUUGACAGAAAAUGCAUACAUAUUAUCAGUUUUCCUGCUGAGUUGUACUAUUAUGCUACAGAAUACACAUCAGCUAUUAUGCUACAGAAUACGCAUAAUUAGUUACAGAUCAGUAGGCUACUCAUCUGGUUAGUUUUCUCAAGUCAUUUCUUCUGUGUGUAUAUAUGUUAUUUUCCUUUUUACACUAACAAGAGUUUCGUGCUUUCUGGUAUGGUGUGGUGCUCCCCCCUUCAUUUAGUGAGUUCUUCCUUAAUGGAGGAUAUGGUAUAGGUAAUAGUGAGUGGUGUUCUAGCUUAUGCACUAUUUCCCCCUGGCCCGAGUUCCACACCAUAACAUGCCGCCGCCCCAGCCGCCGCGUCUGCCAUGGCGCCGACGCCUCCCUGGCUCGCGGGACAUCCCCUCUAUAUAUUGUAAUAGACUCCCAUGAAUACAAUUGAGUUGCAUCCUAUAAUCUUCUACCUGCGUCAUCCGGUUUUAAUGGACAGGUUCCAGCAAAAAAUGUCACGCUAUAGGGAAAGCGAGUGGGAAGGGUGUGUUGUAGGGUGGAAUUCUUGUGUUGGAACAACGUGUUGGAGAUAACAUGGUGAAUAGUCCGUACAACUACAUUUCUUCCCCACAUAUGAGUUGGAUUUGGGGGAGUCCAGACGGUUGAAUUUGGGGAGUCUGCUGGGCACCCAUUUGAACACGUCCGAACGUAUGAGGGAGAAAUGAGCUUUGACUUGUUUAAUAUUGUACAAAAAAUAUUUGCUGCUAAUAAUGAGACAAGUUCUGAUUUGUACAUGCAA